rfam:Enterobacter aerogenes KCTC 2190, complete genome.
CAGUGCGUUGGUAGCUGUUAAGCCAAGGGCGGUAGCGUA